rnacentral:rRNA from 1 species
CUUCUGAAUGUUGACCUCGGAUCAGGUAGGAAUACCCGCUGAACUUAAGCAUAUCAAUAAGCGGAGGAAAAGAAACCAACAGGGAUUGCCCUAGUAACGGCGAGUGAAGCGGCAACAGCUCAAAUUUGAAAUCUGGCUCUCGGGCCCGAGUUGUAAUUUGUAGAGGAUACUUUUGAUGCGGUGCCUUCCGAGUUCCCUGGAACGGGACGCCAUAGAGGGUGAGAGCCCCGUCUGGUUGGAUGCCAAAUCUCUGUAAAGUUCCUUCAACGAGUCGAGUAGUUUGGGAAUGCUGCUCUAAAUGGGAGGUAUAUGUCUUCUAAAGCUAAAUACCGGCCAGAGACCGAUAGCGCACAAGUAGAGUGAUCGAAAGAUGAAAAGCACUUUGAAAAGAGAGUUAAAAAGUACGUGAAAUUGUUGAAAGGGAAGCGUUUAUGACCAGACUUGGGCUUGGUUAAUCAUCUGGGGUUCUCCCCAGUGCACUUUUCCAGUCCAGGCCAGCAUCAGUUUUCCCCGGGGGAUAAAGGCGGCGGGAAUGUGGCUCUCUUCGGGGAGUGUUAUAGCCCACCGUGUAAUACCCUGGGGGGGACU